UAAGCCUGUGAAGGUGGCCUGUGAGGGUUGCUGGAGGUAUCAGAAGUGCGAAUGCUGACAUAAGUAACGAUAAAGCGGGUGAAAAGCCCGCUCGCCGGAAGACCAAGGGUUCCUGUCCAACGUUAAUCGGGGCAGGGUGAGUCGACCCCUAAGGCGAGGCCGAAAGGCGUAGUCGAUGGGAAACGGGUUAAUAUUCCCGUACUUGGUGUUACUGCGAAGGGGGGACGGAGAAGGCUAUGUUGGCCGGGCGACGGUUGUCCCGGUUUAAGCGUGUAGGUGUGUGUUCCAGGUAAAUCCGGUUCACUUUAACACUGAGGCGUGACGACGAGGCACUACGGUGCUGAAGCAACAAAUGCCCUGCUUCCAGGAAAAGCCUCUAAGCAUCAGGUAACAUCAAAUCGUACCCCAAACCGACACAGGUGGUCAGGUAGAGAAUACCAAGGCGCUUGAGAGAACUCGGGUGAAGGAACUAGGCAAAAUGGUGCCGUAACUUCGGGAGAAGGCACGCUGAUAUGUAGGUGAAGCGGUUUACCCGUGGAGCUGAAAUCAGUCGAAGAUACCAGCUGGCUGCAACUGUUUAUUAAAAACACAGCACUGUGCAAACACGAAAGUGGACGUAUACGGUGUGACGCCUGCCCGGUGCCGGAAGGUUAAUUGAUGGGGUCAGCGCAAGCGAAGCUCCUGAUCGAAGCCCCGGUAAACGGCGGCCGUAACUAUAACGGUCCUAAGGUAGCGAAAUUCCUUGUCGGGUAAGUUCCGACCUGCACGAAUGGCGUAAUGAUGGCCAGGCUGUCUCCACCCGAGACUCAGUGAAAUUGAACUCGCUGUGAAGAUGCAGUGUACCCGCGGCAAGACGGAAAGACCCCGUGAACCUUUACUAUAGCUUGACACUGAACAUUGAGCCUUGAUGUGUAGGAUAGGUGGGAGGCUUUGAAGCGUGGACGCCAGUCUGCGUGGAGCCGACCUUGAAAUACCACCCUUUAAUGUUUGAUGUUCUAACGUGGACCCGUAAUCCGGGUUGCGGACAGUGUCUGGUGGGUAGUUUGACUGGGGCGGUCUCCUCCUAAAGAGUAACGGAGGAGCACGAAGGUUGGCUAAUCCUGGUCGGACAUCAGGAGGUUAGUGCAAUGGCAUAAGCCAGCUUGACUGCGAGCGUGACGGCGCGAGCAGGUGCGAAAGCAGGUCAUAGUGAUCCGGUGGUUCUGAAUGGAAGGGCCAUCGCUCAACGGAUAAAAGGUACUCCGGGGAUAACAGGCUGAUACCGCCCAAGAGUUCAUAUCGACGGCGGUGUUUGGCACCUCGAUGUCGGCUCAUCACAUCCUGGGGCUGAAGUAGGUCCCAAGGGUAUGGCUGUUCGCCAUUUAAAGUGGUACGCGAGCUGGGUUUAGAACGUCGUGAGACAGUUCGGUCCCUAUCUGCCGUGGGCGCUGGAGAACUGAGGGGGGCUGCUCCUAGUACGAGAGGACCGGAGUGGACGCAUCACUGGUGUUCGGGUUGUCAUGCCAAUGGCACUGCCCGGUAGCUAAAUGCGGAAGAGAUAAGUGCUGAAAGCAUCUAAGCACGAAACUUGCCCCGAGAUGAGUUCUCCCUGAGACUUUAGGUCUCCUGAAGGAACGUUGAAGACGACGACGUUGAUAGGCCGGGUGUGUAAGCGCAGCGAUGCGUUGAGCUAACCGGUACUAAUGAACCGUGAGG
rnacentral:rRNA from 1 species